rnacentral:rRNA from 1 species
GACGAACGCUGGCGGCGUGCUCAACACAUGCAAGUCGAACGGUAAGGCCCUUCGGGGUACACGAGUGGCGAACGGGUGAGUAACACGUGGGUGAUCUGCCCUGCACUUCGGGAUAAGCCUGGGAAACUGGGUCUAAUACCGGAUAGGACCCUGGGAUGCAUGUCCUGGGGUGGAAAGCUUUUGCGGUGUGGGAUGGGCCCGCGGCCUAUCAGCUUGCUGGUGGGGUGAUGGCCUACCAAGGCGACGACGGGUAGCCGGCCUGAGAGGGUGACCGGCCACACUGGGACUGAGAUACGGCCCAGACUCCGACGGGAGGCAGCAGUGGGGAAUAUUGCACAAUGGGCGCAAGCCUGAUGCAGCGACGCCGCGUGAGGGAUGACGGCCUUCGGGUUGUAAACCUCUUUCAGCACCGACGAAGCGCAAGUGACGGUAGGUGCAGAAGAAGGACCGGCCAACUACGUGCCAGCAGCCGCGGUAA